UACGUAGGGGGCUAGCGUUGUCCGGAAUCAUUGGGCGUAAAGCGCGUGUAGGCGGUCCGGUAAGUCCGCUGUGAAAGUCGGGGGCUCAACCCUCGGAUGCCGGUGGAUACUGUCGGGCUUGAGUACGGAAGAGGCGAGUGGAAUUCCUGGUGUAGGCGGUGGAAUGCGCAGAUAUCAGGAAGAACACCAAUGGCGAAGGCAGCUCUCUGGGCAAGAUACUGACACUGAGACGCGAAAGCGUGGGUAGCAAACAGG
rnacentral:rRNA from 1 species